rnacentral:rRNA from 1 species
ACGGGUGAGUAACGCGUAGGUAACCUGCCUGGUAGCGGGGGAUAACUAUUGGAAACGAUAGCUAAUACCGCAUAACAGUAGAUAUUGCAUGAUAUCUGCUUGAAAGGUGCAAAUGCAUCACUACCAGAUGGACCUGCGUUGUAUUAGCUAGUUGGUGAGGUAACGGCUCACCAAGGCGACGAUACAUAGCCGACCUGAGAGGGUGAUCGGCCACAUUGGGACUGAGACACGGCCCAAACUCCUACGGGAGGCAGUAGUGGGGAAUAUUGCACAAUGGGGGAAACCCUGAUGCAGCGACGCCGCGUGAGUGAAGAAGUACUUCGGUAUGUAAAGCUCUAUCAGCAGGGAAGAAAAUGACGGUACCUGAGUAAGAAGCCCCGGCUAACUACGUGCCAGCAGCCGCGGUAAUACGUAGGGGGCAAGCGUUAUCCGGAUUUACUGGGUGUAAAGGGAGCGCAGACGGUUGCGCAAGUCUGAAGUGAAAUCCCGAGGCUUAACCACGGGACUGCUUUGGAAACUGUGCGGCUUGAGUAUCGGAGGGGCAGGCGGAAUUCCUAGUGUAGCGGUGAAAUGCGUAGAUAUUAGGAAGAACACCGGUGGCGAAAGCGGCCUGCUGGACGAAAACUGACGUUGAGGCUCGAAGGCGUGGGGAGCAAACAGGAUUAGAUACCCUGGUAGUCCACGCGGUAAAC